GACGAAGUUGGGUUUAUGAUAACAGUAGCUUGGGAAUUUGAUUUUCAUAUCUCUUCAGCUGUUUGAGCUGUUUGGUUAUUCAAACACAGUCAGAUGAAAAUAUCAGAUUGAUAUUUCGGCCGCUUUGUUUGACAUUUGCGCCCAAUAGUUUAGCGUUCUAUUUGGUGUAGUUUUACUAUUGUUUAAAACAAAACUUUUUUUUAAUAUAGUAUUUCAAAUUCUUCAACGCACUGGUGCACGAAUUUACAAUAAAACUUGCAACUAAACCUGUUGAAAUUUGAUAACCAGUGAGAAACUGGAGGAAAUGCAGCUGGUUUUUCCUAGCAUUCUUUGAAGGCAGUCAAAGAAAGAUUUCGUGCUCAUUGUCUCUUAUAAAUUAUUUGUUUUGAGUUAUAUUGAGUUCAGGUCAGUUCGUGAAAAGAAAUUUUAUGAUGCAUAACUCUUCCUUUUCCGUUAAAACGUGCAUCAUUGGAUCACAAGGUGUCGGUAAAACAAGCAUAGUUUUCCAGCUGAGUAUGAAACAUUUUAAAUUAAAUGUCACACCCACCAUAGGCGCAUCUUUCUCUUGUAAAGUUAUAGAUGUUGAUUCACAUACAGUACGAUUCCAGAUUUGGGAUACAGCUGGACAAGAAACCUAUAAAUCAAUGCUACCAAUGUAUUAUAGGAAAGCUAAUUUAGCAAUGGUUGUGUAUGAUAUAACGUGCCAAGAUUCUUUCAAUAGUAUACCCAAAUGGAUAGAAGAAUUGGAAAAAAAUGCAGAUAAAGACUGUGUUAUCUGCAUAAUUGGUAAUAAAUGUGACCUCGAGUAUAAAAGAGCAGUUAAUCGAGAGAAAGCUGCUCAGUUUGCGAGUUCUAUUGGUGCUCUCUAUUUUGAGACUUCGGCAAAAACAAAUGAAGGCAUAAUGGAGGCAUUUAUACACGUAGCCCGACAAAUGGUCAAUCUGUAUCAUCGUCGAGAAUCUCUCUCAGCAAGUACAACGAGUAGUAGGACACGAUCACUUAGCCUGGAAGAUGGUUCUACAAAAUCUCAAUCGCGGUGCUGUUUUUAACUAAACAUCGUAGAUAUCAGAACAGUUAGCAAAAAUGAAAUAGGUAUUUGUGAGACUUACUCACAAAAUAAUCAAGCAAGACCGUCAGCAUAACAGCGCAAGUUCAAACGAAAUAAUGCUGAAUUUUCCAGAAUAUAUCACGAAGUCUGGCUGUGUUACUGUUACAAUAUUGAGAACUCUUUUUCCAAGGUUAAAGCCUCACUGAAUUACCAUAAAAACAUUCAAAGACGCAACGAAUUGAUUGCACGCAUGUGAGAACUAUUUAUGAAUGUCCUUGCGGCAAACUCAUGGAAGAAGGUUAUUUGCAUGUGUAAGUUUCCAUAAAUAGCAAACUGUGUUAUUGUUUGCGUUGUGCUUAAAUGCCUUCUUAUCAUCAAUCAUCUGGCUGCUAUCCUAGAAUGUUGUGUUAUUCUAUUUUUUCUUUUAUACUGCAGUUUCAAUAAACUUUUAAUAUAUAAUAAAAAA
rnacentral:misc_RNA from 1 species